UACGUAGGGUGCAAGCGUUAUCCGGAAUUAUUGGGCGUAAAGAGCUCGCAGGCGGUUUGUCGCGUCUGCUGUGAAAACUGGAGGCUCAACCUCCAGCCUGCAGUGGGUACGGGCAGACUAGAGUGCGGUAGGGGAGAUUGGAAUUCCUGGUGUAGCGGUGGAAUGCGCAGAUAUCAGGAGGAACACCGAUGGCGAAGGCAGAUCUCUGGGCCAUUACUGACGCUGAGGAGCGAAAGCGUGGGGAGCGAACAGG
rnacentral:rRNA from 1 species